rnacentral:rRNA from 1 species
GCCAUGCCGCGUGCAGUGAUGACGGUCCUAUGGAUUGUAAACUGCUUUUAUACGAGAAAAAACACUGCUUCCUGAAGCAUCUUGACGGUCUCGUAUCAAUAAGGAUCGGCUAACUCCGUGCCAGCAGCCGCGGUAAUACGGAGGAUCCGAGCGUUAUCCGGAAUCAUUGGGUUUAAAGGGUCCGAAGGCGGUUUAGGAAGUCAGUGGUGAAAGCCCAUCGCUCAACGGUGGAACGGCCAUUGAUACUGCUUAACUUGAAUUAUUAGGAAGUAACUAGAAUAUGUAGUGUAUCGGUGAAAUGCUUAUAGAUUACGUGGAAUACCAAUUGCGAAGGCAGGUUACUACUAAUGGAUUGACGCUGAUGGACGAAAGCGUGGGUAGCGAACACGAUUACAUACCCUGGUAGUCCACGCCGUAAACGAUGGAUACCAGCUGUUGGAAGCAAUUUCAUUGGCUAAGCGAAAGUGAUAAGUAUCCCACCUGGAGAGUACGUUCGCAAGAAUGAAACUCACAGGAAUUGACGGGGGCCCGCACAAGCGGUGGAGCAUGUGGUUUAAUUCGAUGAUACGCCCGUGAACCUUACCAAGGCUUAAAUGUAAAUUGACCGUUUUUGGAUACAGAACU